AACGCACAUUGCGCCCCUUGGUAUUCCGAGGGGCAUGCCUGUUCGAGCGUCAUUACAACCCUCAAGCAAUGCUUGGUAUUGGGCUCCGCUGCUCACCCAGUGGGCCUUAAAAUCAGUGGCGGUGCCGUCGGGCCCUGAGCGCAGUAAAUAUCCUCGCUACAGGGACUCGGUGGACGCUGGCCAUCAACCCCCCUAACUUUCUAAGUUUGACCUCGGAUCAGGUAGGGAUACCCGCUGAACUUAA
rnacentral:misc_RNA from 1 species